GUAGGUGGCAAGCGUUGUCCGGAAUUAUUGGGCGUAAAGCGCGCGCAGGCGGUUCUUUAAGUCUGAUGUGAAAGCCCACGGCUCAACCGUGGAGGGUCAUUGGAAACUGGAGAACUUGAGUACAGAAGAGGAAAGCGGAAUUUCACGUGUAGCGGUGAAAUGCGUAGAGAUGUGGAGGAACACCAGUGGCGAAGGCGGCUUUCUGGUCUGUAACUGACGCUGAGGCGCGAAAGCGUGGGGAGCAAACAGGAUUAGAUACCCUGGUAGUCCACGCCGUAAACGAUGAGUGCUAAGUGUUAGGGGGGUUUCCGCCCCCCUUAGUGCUGCAGCUAACGCAUUAAGCACUCCGCCUGGGAGUACGGCCGCAAGGCUG
rnacentral:rRNA from 1 species